GAUGAACGCUGGCGGCGUGCCUAAUACAUGCAAGUCGAGCGAACGGACGAGAAGCUUGCUUCUCUGAUGUUAGCGGCGGACGGGUGAGUAACACGUGGAUAACCUACCUAUAAGACUGGGAUAACUUCGGGAAACCGGAGCUAAUACCGGAUGAUAUUUUGAACCGCAUGGUUCAAAAGUGAAAGACGGUCUUGCUGUCACUUAUAGAUGGAUCCGCGCUGCAUUAGCUAGUUGGUAAGGUAACGGCUUACCAAGGCAACGAUGCAUAGCCGACCUGAGAGGGUGAUCGGCCACACUGGAACUGAGACACGGUCCAGACUCCUACGGGAGGCAGCAGUAGGGAAUAUUCCGCAAUGGGCGAAAGCCUGACGGAGCAACGCCGCGUGAGUGAUGAAGGUCUUCGGAUCGUAAAACUCUGUUAUUAGGGAAGAACAUAUGUGGAAGUAACUGUGCACAUCUUGACGGUACCUAAUCAGAAAGCCACGGCUAACUACGUG
rnacentral:rRNA from 1 species